GGGGCCGUGGCGUAACGGUAGCGCGCCUCCAUGGCAUGGAGGAGGUUGUGGGUUCGAUUCCCAUCGGCUCCA
rnacentral:tRNA from 1 species